GGUCACGUAGCCAAGUGGUAAGGCAGAGGUCUGCAAAACCUCUAUUCGCGGGUUCGAUUCCCGCCGUGACCU
rfam:Candidatus Buchananbacteria bacterium RIFCSPHIGHO2_02_FTLL_56_16 rifcsphigho2_02_scaffold_5834, whole genome shotgun sequence.